GACGAACCGAGCGAACGUUGUUCGGAAUCAUCUGGGCUUAAAGGGCGCGUAGGCGGGUGUUCAAGUCCGGGGUGAAAUCCUACCAGGCUCAACUCGGAGAACUGCCUUGGAUACUGGGCACCUCGAGGGUGGUAGGGUAUGCGGGAACUAUCGGUGGAGCGGUGAAAUGCGUUGAUAUCGAUAGGAACUCCGGUGGCGAAGGCGGCAUACUGGACCACUUCUGACGCUGAGGCGCGAAAGCCAGGGAGCGAACGGG
rnacentral:rRNA from 1 species